ACGAAUCUCCCUCCCGAUUACUCGUCCCGGCGGCCACCUCCCGACUGUUGACUCCACUCCACUCCACCGCCGAGCGCCGCCUCCGCGCUCCGUGACCGCCAUGUCGCUCCGUCGCCUCGCCGGCUCCCCCGCGUCACGCCCUCUCUUCGCCACGCGGCCCUUCUCUGCCACCGCCUCUCCAGCUCCGCCUGCUCCCGUGCCAACGUCCCCUUCCUACCUCGCCCACCACCUGCUCGACGAAUUCUCCCGCCCGCGGGCCACCCGCGACGCGGCGCGGCUCUGCCGCCUCGCCGCCUCGCUCACCGCCCCCGCCGCGGAGUCCGUCAUCCUGCGGCUCCCCUCCUGGCGCCACGCCCUCGACUUCUUCCGCUGGGCCGCCGAGCGGCCGGGCUUCCGCCACUCGUGCUACUCGCUCAACGCCAUGGCCUCGCUCCUCCCCCGCCACCAGCACGCCCACCUCGAUCGCCUCGCGGCCGACGCGAUCGCCGCGCGCUGCCCCAUGACUCCUGGUGCGCUGGGGUUCCUCCUCCGCUGCCUCGGCGCCGCCGGCCUCCCCGACACCGCCGUCCGCGUCUUCGACGCCGCGAGGUCCUCCUUCAGCUGCACCCCCAACCCGUACACCUACAACUGUCUUCUUGACGCGCUCGCCAAGGCCGGCCGCGCGGACGAUGCUCAGGCAAGGCUCCAGGAAAUGGUGGCGAGAUGCGGCCAAGACAGUGUUGAUAAGUACACGCUCACCUCACUCCUCCGGUGCUACUGCAAUGCGGGUCGUCCUGAUGACGCGGACGACGUGUUCCAGAGGAUGAGCGAGCGGGGGUGGGUGGAUGAGCAUGUGCUUACGACACUGGCAGUGGCGUUCAGCAAGUGGGGUAAGGUGGACGGUGCGUUUGAGCUGCUGGGGAGGAUGGAAGCACUGGGGAUGAGAUUGAGUGAGAAGACAGUGAGCGUGCUGGUUCAUGGGUUCACCAAGCAAGGCCGGAUUGACAAGGCCAUGGACAUGUUUGCUAAGAUGGUCAGUUAUGGGUUUGUUGUUGAUUUGCCAAUGUACAGUGUUUUAAUUGAGGGCCUUUGUCAGCACAAAGAUAUCGCCAAAGCAAUGGAGUUGUUUGAGAAACUGAAGGGCAGUGGAGUUGCUCCUGAUGUCCGCUUACUCAAGAAGGUUAUCGAGGCAAUCUGUAGAGAAGGGGAUUUUGCCAUCGUUGGUCCGUUCAUUAAAGAAAAUGCAGAGUUCUUGAAAUCAGGUAGUGUUGUCCUACUGUACAAUGUAGUUUUAGAAGGGCUUGUCUAUCGGGAUGAGGUAGAAGCAGCUUAUGAAUUGCUGUGCUCCAUGUUAUCUAGUGGUCAUGGGGGUAACAGUGAUGUGGCUAUUGGGGCACACAUUUUGCAUAUCAUUGAAGAUGCUAAACCAAAUUCUGAUUCCUUUAACAUUGUUGUCUGUGGCCUAUGUAAGGUUAAGAAGCUGGAUUUGGCCUUAACUCUCACAAAAGAUAUGAUUAGUCUUGGUUUUAAGGGAAAAAUUCUGAUGUUUAAUGAUUUGAUCCAUGAGUUGUGCAACGUGGAUCGAUUAGAUGAAGGAUAUGUGAUAUUUAACCAAAUGAAGGAUCUUGGUUUGGUACCCUCAGAGUUCACGUAUAAUUCAUUGUUCUAUGGCAUCUGUAGGAAAAAAGAUCCAAAGGCUGCUCUGGAUCUACUAAGGGAGAUGCGGACAAACGGGCAUUCACCAUGGAUAAAGAACUGCACAGAGAUGGUGCAACAGCUUUGCUUCAGUGGCAGGAUAACAGAGGCGCUGCAAUUUCUAGAUGGAAUGCUUCAAAUUGGUUUCCUUCCUGACAUUGUCACAUACUCAGCAGCCAUGAAUGGAAUGUGUAAAACUGGAGAGGUGAACAACGCGUUAGGCCUCUUCCGUGACAUUUCUUAUUUUUCAUUGCUUCUGUCUACAUGCCCUUCUGCAUCAUACAACUACUUUCAUGCUGCGUGCACUGGUGUCAACUCUAGGUGCAAGGUCUGCAUUCUGCAAUGCCUGCGUUCUAUCACAGCAGUGGAAAGGGGUAUUUUGGGUGUUUCAACAAAUGAGAAUGAAUAGUUUGACACCUAUAGGUGCAACAUUUGGGUUAGUGAUGGAGGUAAGCUUUUAACUGUUCAUCUUGUCGUUUGGAUGAUUAGUGUUCGAUGGGUACUUUGGAAAUGUGUAAGAAAUAAAUGGGAAUACUUAAAGGAAUAUAUAAUUGAUUCACAAAGCAUGUGAUUGUGAGGUUCAUAAGUCCAGUUUAGCUGUCUCCUCCUGAUAGAAAUUAGGUUAGAGAAGCUUAUGAUUUUGUUUAUUUUACAUCCAUCCUGUAUGUAUGUUUGGAGAUCAAAACUGCACUGUUAUAAUCUUUUGGUCAUCUCUCCUUUUCUUUUUUGGGAAAUAGUGGGUUAGGCUCAUCUGUGUUAUAAAUUGAAACCAUCCCUUUGUUUCCAAAUGUACCAUUUGAUGAUAAUUUCCAUAAAGAUAGCUAAAGCUUUGCUGUGGCUGUGCUGUGGAAGUGGAACUGAUAUGUACAUCCACUGUACUGUUCCAUGCAAUGUAAUGCCAGAUUUUCUUCCAUCAUUCCUUGUCAGAGGAGCUUGCAAAAAGGAGGUGAUGCAAAGUUUCCUCUUCUCAGAGAGUGCACAGAACACAGUUAUAAUCUGAAUCAGAAUGCAAAUUCUUGUGUAUAAACUCUUAAUUGCUCUGGUCUUAUCCAUAAUUCUGGCCUUUAUUUCCCAUUAUCUUAAGUUUAUUGUCUUCUCGUUCAUGUCAUAUGUUGGCAGACUUAACCCACUAGUUCAUAGAGAUAUGCACAGCACCUCUUUGCAGUCCAGUUGUUUGUAAUCUCAAGCAUCUAGUGUGGUGUUUGCAUGCACAGAUUGUCAAACAUAAUAAAAACAUGCCCUUUCUUACUCAACUUUGAUAUGGCAUGCUACCAUACUCACUGGAGUUACUUUUUGAAAGGUCAUGCUUAAAGCCAAGAAGUAUGACUUUGUCCAAAUUUUUUUUGAGAAGAUGCAAAAAAUUGGGGCACCUCCAAGCGCAAUACGAGUAACUUAUAAAGUGUUAGUGAGAGCCCUGUGUGAACAAGGGAAAGUGAAUAAAGCAGUUGAAGCAGUGAAGGAUAUGGAACAAAGGGUUUGUUUCAGAGGUUCGACUUUGGACAGAUUCAAACUGAUUUAUAAUGUGAAACAGAGAGUAUUGCAGAAGCAAUACCUUGUUCAGUAGUCUCCUACAAUUGGUUUUUAAGAGUUAAAAACAAGGAUACUGCAUUUUUGCUUCACGAGUAGUAUGAGAUGUAUUUUUCUGUAGUAUACGGACCCUCUAGUAACAAAAGGGGCCAAUUUGGUUCCUUUGUUGGGCAUUGAUGUCUGGGAGCAUGCCUACUACCUGCAGGUAAUCUCAUGCUGUUGGGAUCGAAGGCACAUUCUAUAAUCUCUUUAUAUUGCUAGCUCCACAUAUGAUGUGAUCAACAGAUCACACAUUCACACUUGAAUGAGUUAGACAACUUAUUUGGUUAUUCCCCUUAUAAUAUUUGCAUCAUGAAGCUACUGCUUUAAACUAUUGACCCAUUGAUUUCCACAAAACCUAACAAGAGCAGAAUAAAGUGACUGUCUCAUGGAUUAUGUCACCAAAUAUUUGAGAAAGUUUAGUAGAAUGGGAGUAGGCAAUGGAACAUUGGUUAUGCAUGCUUGGAUACAUUUGCAUAGAGGUGGACAAAUGAAUAACAUAAUGCCUGUCGGUUUUGCUGCUGUACUUUCUUUGCUCCUGGUGGCGCACCUUUCUGUUUUCAUUUUUCCUAUGCGAAUGAAUAAGGCUGUGCUGAGCUAUAGUGAUGUGAUCUAGCAAGAACACACGCUCACGAACAGCACAUUAAUACCGGACACAGAAGUAGUACUAUUUAUAAUUCGACUUU